rnacentral:rRNA from 1 species
GACGAACGCUGGCGGCGUGCUUAACACAUGCAAGUCGAACGGUAAAGCGCUUCUUUUGUUGGGUGCUGUGGUGGCGAAGGGAACAGGAACGUGACACUAGCCUGACCUGCACUCUGGUAUAGCUUAAGCGCACGAGAGCGAAGCCAGUAUAGGAGCUCCUGCGGCUGGGUGGUGGUGGGUCUGGUUCGGGGGUUGGGUCGGGGCGCGCGGCUCAUGAGGUCGUUGGUGGGGUAGUGGCGUACCAAGGCUUUGACGGGUAGCCGGCCUGAGUGGGUGACAGGCCACAUUGGGACUGAGACACGGGCCAGACUCCUACGGGAGGCAGCAGUGGGGAAUAGUGCACAAUGGGCGGAAGGCUGAUGCAGCGACGCCGCGUGCGGGAUGACGGCCUUCGGGUUGUAAACCGCGUUCGCCUGUUACGAAGCGUGAGUGACGGUAAUGGGAAAAGAAGCACCGGCUAACUACGUG